rnacentral:lncRNA from 1 species
UCAUCGAGGCGGAGGGGGGAUGUGGAGGGUCCGAAGGGAUCUUGAAUGGAGGAUUGAUGAGAGCACAUUGAAGUACCAUCACUCUCAUCGGGGACGUUAUGUGGGAUGAGUUGGGGGGAGAAAGAGAAUCGACAAAGAGAUCGAGACAGCGAUUAGGGUUAUUGAUUUGGGGGGGGGGGAGAAAGAGAAUCGACAAAGAGAUCGAGACAGCGAUUAGGGUUAUUGAUUUGGGGGGGGGGGAGAAAGAGAAUCGACAAAGAGAGAGAGACGGCAAUUAGGGUUAGAGAGAAAAGAAAAGGGGAUCGAGAGAACGAUUUCAAAGAGAGAGAGAGCUCUGGAAAUGAGUAAUGGGCUCCGACCAAUACGUAAAAUCAAGAGAGGCGCGGGAGUGGGCUAGGAGAUGGGUCUAAUGGGCUGCGAAUUGUUGAAUUUUUUUUUAAUCCCAAGCCCAGUCCGGGAUGAUAUGGCAUAUUGAUUGGUUCUCACUAUUUUUGCCUAUGUGGCAGUGCUUAGGAGAGAGGGAUUUAGCCCCUUUUAUAUAGUGGGAUUACAUUCGAAAACAUUAUUUUGAGUCAAAUUUAAGUUAGAGUAUUAAAUCUGAAGAUAAAUA